GACGAACGCUGGCGGCGUGCUUAACACAUGCAAGUCGAACGGAAAGGCCCUGCUUUUGUGGGGUGCUCGAGUGGCGAACGGGUGAGUAACACGUGAGUAACCUGCCCUUGACUUUGGGAUAACUUCAGGAAACUGGGGCUAAUACCGGAUAGGAGCUCCUGCUGCAUGGUGGGGGUUGGAAAGUUUCGGCGGUUGGGGAUGGACUCGCGGCUUAUCAGCUUGUUGGUGGGGUAGUGGCUUACCAAGGCUUUGACGGGUAGCCGGCCUGAGAGGGUGACCGGCCACAGUGGGGAUGAGAAACGGCCCAGACCCCUACGGGGGGCAGGAGGGGGGAAGAAUGCACAAGGGGCGGAAGGCGGGAGCAGCAACGCCGGGGGGGGGAUGGCGGCCUUCGGGUUGGAAAACGCUUUCGCCUGGGACGAAGCGGGGGGGACGGUAAUGGGGAAAGAAGCACCGGGUAACUACGU
rnacentral:rRNA from 1 species